rnacentral:rRNA from 1 species
GAGUUUGAUCGUGGCUCAGGACGAACGCUGGCGGCGUGCCUAACACAUGCAAGUCGAACGGAGUUAAGAGAGCUUGCUCUCUUAACUUAGUGGCGGACGGGUGAGUAACGCGUGAGUAACCUGCCUUUCAGAGGGGGAUAACGUUCUGAAAAGAACGCUAAUACCGCAUGACGUCAUAGGACCGCAUGGUCUAGUGAUCAAAGGAGCAAUCCGCUGAAAGAUGGACUCGCGUCCGAUUAGCUAGUUGGUGAGAUAAAGGCCCACCAAGGCGACGAUCGGUAGCCGGACUGAGAGGUUGAACGGCCACAUUGGGACUGAGACACGGCCCAGACUCCUACGGGAGGCAGCAGUGGGGGAUA